rnacentral:lncRNA from 1 species
AAAAAUUAUAUAAAAAGUUAUUAAUCUUAUCAAUAAUUUAAAUGGUUGGACCUGAUACUACUUUUUCUGUGUAUUUGUGCACAUAGAACUAAAGAGAAAAAACACAAGGCAAAAGAGAGUAUCAAUGGUGGAUAUCUUACAGCUCAGGAAUUACCUGAAAAGCCAUGAUUCGAGUGAAGAAAGAAAUAGUACUGUACCAAAAGGAACAGAGAGUUAGAAAAGGAUGUGAAGUAGGGCAGAGAGCCACAUUUUCAUAAGCACUAAAGCUAAUUGCUGAAUUAGUUGCAAAAAUGUGUUUAAUUUCAAAGAUUAAAUCACCUGCACUGAAUAAUCACAUAGAAAACUUUACAACCCUUCAAGAUUUCAAGAAAAUAAUAAUGAGAGGAGAAAUGAUGAUACCUAAAAGAAAGAACAUGAGAGAUGAAGCUUUAAUUUUCUUUCCCUCCAACGCAUUGAGGGAAGAUCUUUU